UACAGAGGUCUCAAGCGUUGUUCGGAUUCAUUGGGCGUAAAGGGUGCGUAGGCGGCGCGGUAAGUCGGGUGUGAAAUCUCGGAGCUUAACUUCGAAACUGCAUUCGAUACUGCCGUGCUUGAGGACUGGAGAGGAGACUGGAAUUUACGGUGUAGCGGUGAAAUGCGUAGAUAUCAUCUGGAACGCCAAUGGUGAAAACAGCUCGCUGGGGGUUUGCAGACGCUGAGACACGAAAGCCAGGGGAGCGAACGGG
rnacentral:rRNA from 1 species